rnacentral:rRNA from 1 species
UACGUAGGGGGCAAGCGUUGUCCGGAAUUAUUGGGCGUAAAGAGCUCGUAGGCGGUUUGUUGCGUCGGCUGUGAAAACCUGAGGCUCAACCUCAGGCCUGCAGUCGAUACGAGCAGACUAGAGUGUUGCAGGGGAGACUGGAAUUCCUGGUGUAGCGGUGAAAUGCGCAGAUAUCAGGAGGAACACCGGUGGCGAAGGCGGGUCUCUGGGACGGUACUGACGCUGAGACGCGAAAGCGUGGGGAGCAAACAGG